UAACUGACGCUGAGGAGCGAAAGCAUGGGGAGCAAACAGGCUUAGAUACCCUGGUAGUCCAUGCCGUAAACGUUGGGCGCUAGGUGUGGGGUCCUAUCCACGGAUUCCGUGCCGCAGCUAACGCAUUAAGCGCCCCGCCUGGGGAGUACGGCCGCAAGGCUAAAACUCAAAGGAAUUGACGGGGGCCCGCACAAGCGGCGGAGCAUGCGGAUUAAUUCGAUGCAACGCGAAGAACCUUACCAAGGCUUGACAUAUACCGAAAACUGUCAGAGAUGGCAGGUCCGCAAGGGCGGUAUACAGGUGGUGCAUGGUUGUCGUCAGCUCGUGUCGUGAGAUGUUGGGUUAAGUCCCGCAACGAGCGCAACCCUCGUUCUAUGUUGCCAGCGGGUUAUGCCGGGGACUCAUAGGAGACUGCCGGGGUCAACUCGGAGGAAGGUGGGGAUGACGUCAAAUCAUCAUGCCCCUUAUGUCUUGGGCUUCACGCAUGCUACAAUGGCCGGUACAAAGGGCUGCGAAACCGCAAGGUGGAGCGAAUCCCAAAAAGCCGGUCUCAGUUCGGAUUGGGGUCUGCAACUCGACCCCAUGAAGUCGGAGUCGCUAGUAAUCGCAGAUCAGCAACGCUGCGGUGAAUACGUUCCCGGGCCUUGUACACACCGCCCGUCACGUCACGAAAGUCGGUAACACCCGAAGCCGGUGGCCCAACCCUUGGGAGGGAGCCGUCGAAGGUGGGACUGGCGAUUGGGACGAAGUCGUAACAAGGUAACA
rnacentral:rRNA from 1 species